rnacentral:misc_RNA from 1 species
GAUGAAGAACGUAGCGAAAUGCGAUAAGUAAUGUGAAUUGCAGAAUUCAGUGAAUCAUCGAAUCUUUGAACGCACAUUGCGCCCCCUGGUAUUCCGGGGGGCAUGCCUGUUCGAGCGUCAUUUCACCACUCAAGCCUCGCUUGGUAUUGGGCAACGCGGUCCGCCGCGUGCCUCAAAUCGACCGGCUGGGUCUUCUGUCCCCUAAGCGUUGUGGAAACUUUCGCUAAAGGGUGUUCGGGAGGCUACGCCGUAAAACAACCCCAUUUCUAAGGUUGACCUCGGAUCAGGUAGAGAUACCCGCUGAACUUAAGCAUAUCAAUAAGCGGAGGA